rnacentral:rRNA from 1 species
CAGUCGCCGCGGGAAUACAGAGGAUGCAAGCGUUAUCCGGAAUGAUUGGGCGUAAAGCGUCUGUAGGUGGCUUUUCAAGUCCGCCGUCAAAUCCCAGGGCUCAACCCUGGACAGGCGGUGGAGACUACCAAGCUGGAGUACGGUAGGGGCAGAGGGAAUUUCCGGUGGAGCGGUGAAAUGCAUUGAGAUCGGAAAGAACACCAACGGCGAAAGCACUCUGCUGGGCCGACACUGACACUGAGAGACGAAAGCUAGGGGAGCAAAUGGGAUUAGAUACCCGCGUAGUCCCUGUCUCUUAUAC